rnacentral:rRNA from 1 species
GGGGGGGGGGGGGGGGGGGGGGGGGGGGGGGGGGGGGGGCGGGUGGGGGGGGCGUGGGCGUGGGUUCGGCGGGGGGCGGGGGGGUGAGGGCGGGGGAGCUGCCUGGUCGGGGGGGGUAGCGUCCGGGAACGGGCGCGAAUGCCGCAUAGGGCCUGAGGGAGCAGGUGGGGGGGCUUGGGACCUCGCGCUAGCACACGAGCCUACGUCGGAUUAGCUAGUUGGUGGGGUAAAGGCCUACCAAGGCGACGAUCCGUCACUGGUCUGAGAGGAUGAGCAGUCACACUGGAACUGAGACACGGUCCAGACUCCUACGGGAGGCAGCAGUGGGGAAUAUUGGACCAUGGGCGAAAGCCUGAUCCAGCCAUGCCGCGUGUGUGAAGAAGGUCUUCGGAUUGUAAAGCACUUUAAGUUGGGAGGAAGGGCAGUAAGUUAAUACCUUGCUGUUUUGACGUUACCAACAGAAUAAGCACCGGCUAACUUCGUG